AAGUCGUAACAAGGUUUCCGUAGGUGAACCUGCGGAAGGAUCAUUGAUGAGUGUGGGGGGAAGAUGUUGGAAUGUGUGGGUGAGAUAUGAGUGACAAACUAUUCUCUAAUAUAAUGACUAGCCACCUGGGAUCUCUGGGCUCUU
rnacentral:misc_RNA from 1 species